rnacentral:rRNA from 1 species
AUUGAACGCUGGCGGCAUGCCUUACACAUGCAAGUCGAACGGCAGCACGGGAGCAAUCCUGGUGGCGAGUGGCGAACGGGUGAGUAAUAUAUCGGAACAUGCCCAGUCGUGGGGGAUAACGUAGCGAAAGCUACGCUAAUACCGCAUACGAUCUACGGAUGAAAGCGGGGGAUCGCAAGACCUCGCGCGAUUGGAGCGGCCGAUAUCAGCUUAGCUAGUAGGGGAGGUAAAGGCUCACCAAGGCGACGAUCUGUAGCCGGUCUGAGGGGACGACCGACCACGCUGGAACUGAGACACGGUCCAGACUCCUACGGGAGGCAGAAGUGUGGAGUUUUGGACAAUGGGCUGAAGCCUGAUUCAGCAAUGCCGCUUGCAGGAUGAAGGCCUUCGGGUUGAAAACUGCUUUUGUACAGAACGAAACGGCUCUUUCUAAUACAAGGGGCUAAUGACGGUACUGUAAGAAUAAGCACCGGCUAACUACGUGCCAGCCGCCGCCGUAA